GUACAGUCUGCUGCUGAGAGGCUGUCAGAGUGGUGAGUAGCCACUCAUACCACCUGUCAUCAGAGAAUGAGGAGCGAGCAGGGGAGGGGCAGGCCGUGUGGCCUCCGGAGAUGGCAGCAGACGGAGAUCCGGGCAGAGAAAGAAGCACCUGCCUUGCCUCCUUCCCUCCUUUGCCUGUCCAAAGGUGAAUGAUAUGAGUCGGGCAGUGUGCAUGUCUUCCCAGAAGAAAAAAUGAGGCUCAGAUGUGACUCGGUGUCCCCGGUGAGUGGGUGCAUCAUAAAUGUCAGACAUUGACUGCACCGAAAAGCCUUCUUGGGCUGUCUUCACCGUCUUGUUCUUGGCUUUGGACUCCUGAGCUGCACAAUAAGGAUGUGCAUGGUGCUGCUGACCGUAUGCUCCCCCGACAGUUCCAGGAAGGUGCAGAGUGCUGACAGCCACGCCCUGGAGCUUGCGCUUGCCAGUGCUUAGUGAGUAAGGAAUUGUGAGACUUGUACAGCUCUGACAGCUUCUUAGGGAUCACAUAGCUCAGUAGGUGAGCCCAGCAGUUUCUGGGUGGGGGAGGGCGCUGAGUGAGCCAGCAGUGGAGAGGGGCUGGACAAGAUCCGCUGAUCACAGAAGAGGAGAGGGAGGUUCUGAGUGACCCACAGCACACUCCACACCCUUGGAAGAUGGAGAACCCUUCCUAGCCCCCCACUGAGUCCUGGAGGCAGCCAGUAGAAUGUUCUGGGUCUGAGACCCAAGUCAUUUUUCACCCUGAUCCUGCCCUCUCCUUGGUAGCUCUCAGAACUGACUCCUGAGGGAAGGCAAGUGUUUGAAUUGACUUUCUCCAAGGUUCUCACUCUUAGGAAGAUGCAGGUGGAGUUAUCUGUGAUUCUCCCUGUAGGUCAGGUGAGUCCUCAAACUGCUUCCCUCAUGGUGAUAAAGUGGCUGCCAACACCUUCCAGGC
ensembl:lncRNA LASTR lncRNA associated with SART3 regulation of splicing